GGCCUGGUGCCCAAGUAGUAAGGGAACUGUCUGCAAAACAGUUAUACGCGGGUGCAAUUCCCGCCCAGGCCU
rnacentral:tRNA from 1 species